AUCGAACGCUGGCGGCAGGCCUAACACAUGCAAGUCGAGCGUGCGGCGGACGGGUGAGUAAUGUAUGGGGACUGCCCGAUAGAGGGGGAUAACUACUGGAAACGGUAGCUAAUACCGCAUACUAUCGGAUAACCCAUAUGGGAUUAGCUAGUGGGGGGGGUAAUGGCUCACCUAGGCGACGAACCCGAGCUGGUCUGAGAGGAUGAUCAGCCACACUGGGACUGAGACACGGCCCAGACGCCUACGGAGGCAGCAGUGGGGAAUUUUGCGCAAUGGGCGCAAGCCUGAUCGAGCAAUGCCGCGUGAGUGAAGAAGGCCUUAGGGUUGUAAAGUACUUUCAGUAGGGAGGCGUUACCGACCCAGAAAGCACCGGCUAACUCCGUGCCAGCAGCCGCGGUAAUAC
rnacentral:rRNA from 1 species